AUUAAACUUCAACAUGCUUAUAUACCGUCAUACACAUAUUUGCAUCUACAUGACUUUUGAUCUGUAAAGCUCAAAUUAACGUUUCCAAAUCAAUGUUAUUUUUGAAGCGUUUGUUACCCAAUAUUCACUGCGGUAAUCACUGUCGAGGUUUUUAGUCGGAGAGAAGCAGGUGAGUUUGAAAUAAUCUGUGAGCUCAAAGUUUUUAUGAAGUACUUUAUACUCACUUCUAGCUGCAAAAAACUAAUUCCCUCUCAACUGAGACACAUGCAGAGCGAAAUAAAGCUUAAACAUGUUUUACGCGGUGAUUCUCCCCCAGCAGGCAUGGGGAAAUGGGCGUUGAUGGAACAAACAGACGCGUAAAUCCACAUCCAAACGUCCCUCGUUCCAAAAUCGCUGUUAUAUCGUUCCGCAUACAAACUUAAUUUACAUUCCGAAAUUCCAGUCGGUGAUUUUGACACUUCUCAAGUUGCUUUCCCUCUUUACAUGUGUAUAUAAAAUGGUGGAAAGCGGAGCAUCUAGUGCGUAACCGCGCGUAAUCCAAGAAGCGGCACGACGCGCAAAGACGCAAAGCACAGAUGCGAUCAAAUGAGUUCACGGAGUUUACCGUGGGUUCGGCUCUCUCUUUGUCCCACAGCACAAUAAUCCUUCACCAGGACGUCCUGAAGUUCACUGGAACGCUGAGGGAACUGGUUCAGAGAUUGCAGACGGAUCUCAAACACUGAACAGAAGUACUGCAAGUCUCUGAAAUGACCUCCUGGUGUUUUUAAGACACUAUGCAUGUGAAUGAAAGGCGGUGUGUAUUUACUGGCCCAGCGUCUGGCCUGAGGUCCGUGCUCUUAUUUACCUCCUGACCCAGACAGCACCUGUCUGCCGUCCCGUGUGCCCGUGUGUUUUAAUGAAGAGCGAGCCAGCGUUUGGUUCGUUGGCCUUUCGGACGCUUCCCUGGACGCAGAUCAAGAGUUGCAGGUGUGGGACAGAUGCAGAACGGACAGAAAGCAGCGAACUGGACAACGCCGGGUCUCCAGAGACUAGAGAAAUAUAAAGCAGGUGGAUUCGAGAACAGGUCCAAACGUCUUUAACAGAUGAACGCUGGAGCUGCUUUAAAAGAGAUGCUUAAAGGAACAGUUCACACCUGUUCCCUGUAUGCUGGGAUUUGUUUCCGUGGAUCAAGGAAUAGCGACUUCAUUUUGACACUCGUCCUCAAAUAAAGUGAUCGUAUUGUAGUCUUUAUAGUUUUUUAAUCCUUAUAAAAGCGUUAAAAGCUGUGUCUAAAGAUGAAAUAACGUCAUACAGGUUUUUGACGAACAUGAGAGUGACUAAAGGACUUUUUUGGGAGAACUGUUCCUUUAAGAAGCCACUUAAAAAUCUCUGAAUGUGUCCGAUGUGAUGUCACGGCGCUCCGACACAUUUUUAAGCGAUUAAACGAAUGAAAUAUCGGCGAUCUGUAGGUUUAGUUUACUGUGUUUGGCGUUUGAGCAAAACAAACGCGUUGUGUGUCGAACCGAGCGGCUCAGAUUUUCCAAACAGAAGGAGAAACGGUUGUUUAGAAAGACAAACAGAAGGCAGAGGAGGAAAAGAGAUGGGGAGAAAGAGGUGCGUUAGGGGUCGCAACAGUUAACUCUCAGAGCUGCACACAGCUGGGCUUUCGCCAGGC